GCGGCGGACGGGUGAGUAACGCGUGGGUAACCUACCCCAAAGUCCGGGAUAACAGCGGGAAACCGCUGCUAAUACCGGAUGCCUUUACCUUGGGGCAUCUUGAGGUAAAGAAAGGCAACGCUUUGGGAUGGGCCCGCGUCCCAUUAGCUAGUUGGUGAGGUAACGGCUCACCAAGGCGACGAUGGGUAGCCGGCCUGAGAGGGUGGACGGCCACACUGGGACUGAGACACGGCCCAGACUCCUACGGGAGGCAGCAGUAGGGAAUAUUGCGCAAUGGACGGAAGUCUGACGCAGCGACGCCGCGUGAGCGAUGAAGGUCUUCGGAUCGUAAAGCUCUGUCCUUGGGGAAGAAGGCGAAAGCUUGACGGUACCCAAGAAGAAAGCCCCGGCUAACUACGUGCCAGCAGCCGCGGUAAUACGUAGGGGGCGAGCGUUGUCCGGAAUUACUGGGCGUAAAGGGUGCGUAGGCGGCCCUUUAAGUCGGAUGUGAAAGCCCGCG
rnacentral:rRNA from 1 species